rnacentral:rRNA from 2 species
UACGUAGGGUGCGAGCGUUAAUCGGAAUUACUGGGCGUAAAGCGUGCGCAGGCGGCUCGCCAAGUCAGAUGUGAAAGCCCCGGGCUUAACCUGGGAAUUGCGUUUGAAACUGGCGGGCUGGAGUGUGGCAGAGGGAGGUGGAAUUCCACGUGUAGCAGUGAAAUGCGUAGAGAUGUGGAGGAACACCGAUGGCGAAGGCAGCCUCCUGGGCCAACACUGACGCUCAUGCACGAAAGCGUGGGGAGCAAACAGG